UACGUAGGGAGCAAGCGUUGUCCGGAAUCAUUGGGCGUAAAGCGCGCGUAGGUGGCCUCAUAAGUCCGCUGUGAAAGUCCAAGGCUCAACCUUGGAAAGCCGGUGGAUACUGUGAGGCUAGAGUACGGAAGAGGCGAGUGGAAUUCCUGGUGUAGCGGUGGAAUGCGCAGAUAUCGGGAGGAACACCAAUGGCGAAGGCAGCUCACUGGGACGGUACUGACGCUGAGACGCGAAAGCGUGGGGAGCGAACAGG
rnacentral:rRNA from 1 species